ensembl:lncRNA
CGAAGACUGUGAGUACAUUGGAUUGCUUACAUAUCAUUGCUCAUACUUGGAUAUGGAUAACUAAUACCUGUUGGAGUGAUUAACAGCUUGUUGAGCGGCCCCAUCGUUGGAGGACGAGACGAGUGGGUGAGCCGAAGUAGAGCGUGGGUGAAUGGAUGUUAUUUGGCUGUGGCCACACCGUAAAGUUUGGAGCACUUACCGUGACAGCGACUGCAAACUCCUCCAGGACGAAAUCCGACCGGGCGUGGAGUACCGACCUUAAAAAUCACUGAAGUGUGUGUAGUGCAGUGGGUGAGUCUGUCUUUGACGUGUGUACACCAAAGCUUUGCAGUGCUGUGCCGUGUCCCUGUUGUCUGUACUCGCCCUCCAGGCCGAGAAAAGUUCCUGUUGGAGAGAACGUAGGCUGCCGUGGCGGUGCCCACCUAUCCCACCUAUGCCCGCCUAUAACUCCGUUCUCCGGACCCAGCUUGAAGGUGAAGCGCGAAAGCAAAACAAGGUAUUGUGCGGAUAUUGUGGGGAAAGCUAUUGCCCUUGAAUACGCCCUGUAAAGCCCAGCGUGAAGAUACAGUCACUUGUUGAAUACUUACCUGUCUGUACGAGCUAAAAGCUAUUGCCCUUGAAUACGCCCUGUAAACCCAGUGUGAAGAUACAGCUACUUGUUGAAUACUUAUCCGCCUGCACGAGUUAAAAGCCAUUGCUCUGGAACCCGCUCAGUAAGCCUAGUGUGAAGAGUCAGUCACCUUGCUCAAUACCUAUCUGUGUUACGAGUAAAAAGUUACUCGCUUCUGAUAUACCGGUGGACAUCCAGGGGCAUGGCCUAGUUACCUUGCUACAUCCUUACCUUUGUUACUUACCUGUGCCCUCAGGGAUUUGUGUGUUACCUUAUAUCUACCUAGGAGGUCUAUGGGAGUGGAGGAGCUGUCCAGACGCUGGUGAAGUACAACCCAAAGAGCAAAGAAGCUAGGAGCAAGGCAUUCUCCGUUUUACCCAUUACUCAUUGUGUGUUCUUGUUGCCUUCAGGAGAAGAGAAGGGCGCCACGGGAAAUCAAGCCGUUAAGGAAGGACUUAGGAUUAGUCAGGAGACUGGUGGAAGUUCUGGGAAAGGACGGAAGAGCCCUUGCCCCCCUCCCCUUGUGAUUACUUACCAAAGACCUCCAGAGUUCUCAGGCCCAGUCCCCUCCUGUCAAGAGACGAAAAUCAAAAUUUUAGAUUCCCCUUUUUUCCUUUCCUAGAUUACCUUUUUAAAUAAUUUAAAUAAAGUUGUUUUAAAUUACCCUUAACUUAUCUUGUGUGUCUGGUCCUUGGGGUGAUCUUGGGACCUCCUCGAGGUGGAAGUCGGGAAGGGGCGUGACUCGCAACACCUGUGGUCCGCUCCGACCUGUGACAGAUUUUGGCGUAGUCGGCAGGAUUCCAUCUCGAGUGGAGCGACCAAGGUCCCCCAAUGGCCGACAACGAGCUGCCAGGAGUCCCACCCCGAGUCAUGCCUGUGUU